GAUGAACGCUGGCGGCGUGCUUAACACAUGCAAGUCGAACGAUGAAAGCGGGAGCUUGCUCCUGCUGGAUUAGUGGCGAACGGGUGAGUAACACGUGAGUAACCUGCGCUUGACUCUGGGAUAAGCGUUGGAAACGACGUCUAAUACCGGAUACGACCUUCGGAGGCAUCUCCUGGGGGUGGAAAGAAUUUCGGUCAAGGAUGGACUCGCGGCCUAUCAGCUAGUUGGUGGGGUAAUGGCUCACCAAGGCGACGACGGGUAGCCGGCCUGAGAGGGUGACCGGCCACACUGGGACUGAGCCACGGCCCAGACUCCUACGGGAGGCAGCAGUGGGGAAUAUUGCACAAUGGGCGCAAGCCUGAUGCAGCAACGCCGCGUGAGGGACGACGGCCUUCGGGUUGUAAACCUCCUUUAGUAGGGAAGAAGCGAAAGUGACGGUACCUGCAGAAAAAGCACCGGCUAACUACGUGCCAGCCGCCGCCGUAAGAC
rnacentral:rRNA from 1 species